rnacentral:rRNA from 1 species
AAUGACUCUCCCAACGGAUAUCUCUGCUCUCGCAUGAUGAAGAACGUAGCGAAAUGCGAUACUUGGUGUGAAUUGCADAAUCCCAUGAACCAUCGAGUCUUUGAACACAAGUUGCGCCCAAAGCCAUUAGGCCGAGGGCACGUCUGGCUGGGUGUCACACAACG